AUUGAACGCUGGCGGCAUGCUUUACACAUGCAAGUCGGACGGCAGCACAGAGAAGCUUGCUUCUUGGGUGGCGAGUGGCGAACGGGUGAGUAACAUAUCGGAACGUACCGAGUAGUGGGGGAUAACUGAUCGAAAGAUCAGCUAAUACCGCAUACGUCUUGAGAGGGAAAGCAGGGGACCUUCGGGCCUUGCGCUAUUCGAGCGGCCGAUAUCUGAUUAGCUAGUUGGUGGGGUAAAGGCCCACCAAGGCGACGAUCAGUAGCGGGUCUGAGAGGAUGAUCCGCCACACUGGGACUGAGACACGGCCCAGACUCCUACGGGAGGCAGCAGUGGGGAAUUUUGGACAACGGGCGCAAGCCUGAUCCAGCCAUGCCGCGUGUCUGAAGAAGGCCUUCGGGUUGUAAAGGACUUUUGUCAGGGAAGAAAAGGCUGUUGCUAAUAUCAGCGGCU
rnacentral:rRNA from 1 species